CAGGAAUCUGGAGAUGAAUUGGCCACACCUACCCUGGAAGAGAAGGGCCAGUUAGGAGUAACACAGGAGAGACACCAGGGUGAUAAGGGAGCUUGAGCAAAGUAGAGAGAUUCCAGAAGAUGGGACAGGAUGAGGAGCGGCUUUGGGGGAAAGACAAUAUUCUCCAGAAACUGACUUUUUGACCAAAUCACUGAUGGCAUUCUGACAUUUGUCCCUUCAUCCCAUUAUCCCUCCUCAAAAAUGUC